rnacentral:lncRNA from 1 species
GAAAUUUUAUGCAUGUUUACUUUACAUAAAAAUUACUAAGUGUUAUGAAGUUCAUCUUAGCAUGAACUAUAUGGGUAUCUUAAGCAUGCUUUCUGUGUGAUUUUCUAAUUUCUUGAAAUUGAUCUAGAAUGUCAACAUAUCUCUACGUUAUCUUCUAUUAGCAUAUCUUUGAUUUUAGAGUCAUUGGAUUUACUAAUUCUUGAUUUUGCUAAGUUAAUUGAUAAAUGACAAAUUUUCCCAAUUCUUUUGCUAAUUAUUUAGUUUGAAAGUAUUCCCUUAAUUGAUUCGGCUUAUUGUGCAAAUUGCAUUGACUUUUGGUAUGUUUCUUAAUCUAUAUUCUAAUAGAAUAGAGGUUAAAAUCUUGCUACAAAUCCAGCUUUGGUAAGGUAAACUUUGCUGAAUUAUUUUGCUUACUUUGCUAAUUGAUUCUCGGUAACUUAUUUGAUUUAGUUGUACUAUUCAUACUAAUUGAUUCUUGGUACCUUAUUUGAUUUUAGAAGGAUUAUUUCUUGUUUUACUAUGGUAAAAUUAUUAAUGUUGAUUUCGUGUCCUCGACUUAAAUUUGAUUCCCAACAUUAAUUUUGCCUAAUUAUGGCAACCAGGAAAUUCUUUCUUUAAUAUUUUUCUGUCUAGGUGUUCAAUGUAAGGGUAUAUCCAUGUGAUUUAUGCAUUAUUCUCCGUUACUUUGGUAAGUAUAUUAUUGAUAGCUUUUCCAAUAUAUUCCUGCUCUUCUGUAUAUUUUAAUUAAAGUAGUGACUCCUUAAUUGAUUUAUUUACCUUAAUUAAUUGAAAACCAGCAAGCAUGCGUAUUUGUGGGCAUAUUUAGUUUCUCCUUAAUUUAAGAAAAAGAUAUUUUAAUUGAUCCUUAGUUAAUUCUCUUUCCUUUAUCAUGUACCCUCCUCUCUACUAUAUAAAGUGAUCCUCUUUCUCAUUAUUAGGACACUCCUUUAAUACUUGCAUAAGGACCAAGCUUUAACAACUUUAGCAAAUAAAACACUAUUAACAAUUCAUGCUCCACACUUUAACAAGAAAUAAAAGAUACCAUCUACUCUUUCAAAGAAAAGGAGAAUUUUGGUGAUUUGUGAGUGUGCUUCCUUGUUGUGUUGCUGUUUUCGGGAAAAAUAUUUCCGUUCAAUAACUUCAUUGCUGAUACAUAAUUCUGCAUAAUUGGUUAGUAUCCUUUUCACUAGUUUAAUUUUUAUUUUAACAUUACUUGCAUUGUUGUGUGUUUAAAUGAUUACAAGGAAACAUCCAGAUUAGUUUUUGUUCUUUCCUCUCUCUGUGAUAAUAUAUCUAUGGUUACUCUUCAUUCGUUUUGAAUCCUAUGUGUGCUGCCUAUAUAUAAAGUAAUAGAUUGCUAUGAAUAUGCGAUGUUAUGAAUAUCUUUGUCACUACAUGUAUAUGCUACACUAUUCCCUUUUAGCAGGUUUUGAACUUGAAGUUCAAGACACAAGAAGAGUUCGCCCGGGUCGGGAUAUAUUCGGACGGAGCCUUGUCUUAUUUUAUUUUGACGUUUGUCUUUCUAUUAAUAUUGGUUUUAUUUGAUUUUGUAAUAAUGUUGUAUAACUCUAACUCCAUAUAUGAUAUAAUUUGAGGAAUCAUCUAAAGGGGGAGGGGAUUACGUGUUAACUGUUUCUUUUCCUUUUAGCUUUAUUUUAUUAUGUGUGUUUUCUAUAGAUAAUAUGCCUAGAUGUGUAUGUUGAAAUCUCUUAAAUAAUCCAUUUAAAAUCAACUAUUUAUUUGUGUUUGUUUAGUUUUAAAUAAACAACCUUUAAUUGGUUGCAUAAUCUGACUUUCUGAAUAAAUGUUAGUAUAUCAAUUAAUUAGCUUGAAUCAAUAAGAGUUCGAUAGCUCUAGUAUAUUAGUUAAUAAUUCAAAUCUUAAUUUCAUGUGUUUAAUGACUUUUGCAGCAUGUUAAUUAACUAGUUCAUUCAAUUAGAUUUCAAUAGUCACUUUAUGUGAAUAAAUUCAGACCACUUAGAAGCAUGCCUAUAAGAUUUAAUUUCUGAGAUAUGGUUGAGUAUAGAAAUCAUGCUUGUAGGUGAUGUGAUAUCUUCAAUAUUUCAAUCACAUAGAAAUCAUGUUCAAUAGGCAUCAUUAAAUAACUUCAGCAUGUUAAAUAAUUGAAAUAAAUCUAUGCAUCUUUUCUGCCUGCCGGUAAUCUAUUUCCGUAUUAUAAUUAUUUUCUGACACUUGAAAUUAAAUUAACUAACAGUCCAGCAUGCUUCACAGAUUUUGAAUAAAUACUGAUUUUUCUCUCUGAUUAUUUCCUGUCCAUAAUUAAUUAGCUUCUGCAACAUCAAACUAUUUUAAUAAUAUUUUGCCAUUUUAAAAUCAACGGUGAAUAAAAUCUGCUUUGUGAUAGCCUUUCGGGUCACUUAGAAUAAACAUUAAUAAUUUGCUACUGCCCAUAUGCUUUUAUUCAGCUAAUCUGUCCUAAUUAACCUGGACAAUAAUUAGUUAAAAUCUACUUUCUGAAAUAACUUUCUGCUCCCCCUAAUCAAAUAAUUAUGUUGUUAUGCUGCUUAUUUUGUAUGCACACACUUAGCAUGAAAUCCUUUCACCAUUUAUGUGUGUUUGAAAGCAUGUUUAAUAAAACCUAGAGGUCAAUAUGAGACCCUAUGUGUUAAAUGCUUGUCCAAAUUGUUUGACUUGGUGUCUAGGUGGGCCUAGUAAGAACCUUUAUUUUAUUUCUAGUCUAAAACCUCCUAAUAGUAGUUCAAUGCCUUUUGGACCUUAAGCGGGGACGCUAGUCACCUUUUAGAGACGAAAAGCAUGCGGUGGUAGGGUAGGGGUAGUUUAGGCCCUACGGAGAUGAUGUCAUCGACUCAGGCUCAAAGAGACAAACCCUGGUUUUGUCUGUCCCUACACGGAAGCCUAUCAAAAAAUAUAAAGAAAAGUCGAGUGUUGAUCCACAAAGUCCUUUAGAGUCUCCUUUUCCUUUUAUCCCUUUAUCUAUUUAUAAUUAUAUUUAUUUGGGGUAGUUUAAUUAAAUAAAAAAUGAUAUUUACUUAUAUAUUUGUUUGCUUUCUAUCUUCUCGCUAUUUCUUUUAAAUUUUAUUUUUGUUAGUUAUUUAGUAUUAUGUUAUUACCUAGUUUUUGCAUGCUUAAUUAAUUAAAUAAAUAAAUAAAUCGAUAUUAAUUGUUUAAUAUUAGUUAUCACAUAGCAAUCAUGUUUAAUAAAUAACUAAUAAAUAAAGUGACUUUAAAUGCUACCUCUAACCCCCACAUAAAUUGCAUGAGAUACGGUCGGGAUCCACAUUUGUGGACCUCGAGGGAUGCCUAACACCUUCCUCUCGAGGUAAUUUGAACCCUUACCCUGAUCUCUAUUUCGUUGACCUUAGUUAGAUUUAGCUAGGUUAGAUAGGAGCUCUAACGCGCCUUAAUUCGUUAGGUGGCGACUUUUCAAUCCUCCAAAGCCCAAAAGAGUUGUUAGGUCGUGCACCAAAACCUGUUUUUGCGAAAAACGGGGAGCGACAGAAUGACGACUCUGCUGGGGAUAUUAGGUUCUAACCAUUACGUGUUUCAUGCUUAUAUGUGGUUUACUUUAUUUGGUCAUUUCAUUGUUUGUUUAUUAUUGUUAAGUACUUUCAUGCUUAAUCACAUACUUAUUUCCUUAUUUGUUGGAUUUCUUACAUGCUUAUAUCUGUUUAUUUAUUUAUUUACUGUUUUUCUUAAAAUUGCCUAUAUUUUACUGUUUUUCAUCUAUAUGCUAAAUGUUUACUGCUUUGAUAAACUGGCAUCCGCUCAUACUUCCCCCAAUUAGGACCCUCUUCCUUUUUAUAUUUUUUAUCGUGAUGUUGUGCCUUUGCACCUCUCAUAACUACUCCAAUUCUUUUCGAAUACCCAUUAUAGAGAGUCGGCAUAUGCGUGGACGGAAUGAAUAAUUUUACUACCGAGAAACCACGAGCCUUCUCGCAUAGAAUCACCUUCAAGUCCGUAUCAAGUCAACUCUUAGAAGUCUUACUUAAGUCAUACAUAUUGCAUAAGCCCUAGGUAGUUUGACCCUUGGUGUCAAUCCGCACAAUUAGCAUCCACCCUAUCGUCUAAAGGGCCCCAACACCCUUCAGAUAAAUUUGCAUAAUUAUGUGUCAAUAUGAUCAUGAUAAUUAAAUCAAGUCAAAUUAUGUCAAAAUGGAGUUAGGAAUUUUUCUCCGACUCUAAAACUUCAAUUGGCAAAGUAUGACUUGAAUCAACUUUAUUUUCAGUUUAUUGUCCCUCUCUGAGAGUAUUGUGUCAUUUAUUUGAACUUAUAAUUUUGGCUUGUUAUAUGCUACCCCCAUGCUUGCGUUUGAUUUAUUUUCUUUGAUUAAAGGUUGUCUAGUAUUUAGACUUUGGUUCAACUAAGAAUCUACAAUAUAACAAAUAUGUUCAGCCUUUAAAAAAAUCACCCCUCUUCUCGUCCAACAAUUUGGACUAUCUCUCCUCAUCCUAUUCCUACUCACACCCUCUCUCAACAAUUAUCUCCAACACGCCUCAACUUUGAUGCUUUGCAAUAUGAGGGGAUAAGUGACAAAAUGGAGAAGUCUAAGCUAGAUGUAAUACAACAAAAAAUGCAUGACUUGGAGAAGAAGGUGAAUGGAGCACUAAACUCAAAACCUACUCAUGACCUGAGGUAUAAGAAAUUAUGUCUACACCCAAGAGUUGAAUUGCCAUCAGGAUUUAAAAUUCCAAAAUUCAACAUGUUCGAUGGGAAUGGGGACCCAAUUUCACAUCUCAAGGACUUUUGAAGCAGAUUAGUUGGCUUAGAAAGUAAUGAACCUCUCCGGAUGAGGUUAUUCAUUCAAAGCUUAUUAGGAAUAGCCUUCACCUGGUUCGUCAAGCAAGACUUUGACAAAUGGCUCGCAUGGAAAGACAUGGCUCGAGACUUUGUGGAACAAUACAAGUUUAACACUAAGAUUGAUCUUACAUUGUUGGACUUGCUCGAAGUAAGGAAAUUAAGUCAUGAAUCUUUUGAGGAAUAUGUCAGAUGAUGGUGAAUGGAAGCUUCCAAGAUACGUCAUUUACCGAAUGAAGAAGAGUUGGUCCAGACUCUCAUCAGAUCACUUGCUGGUAUAUACUACAAGACUCUGUACUUCACAGGUAUUCAAAGCUUCGACAGUCUAAUUCGAAUUGGAAAGGAAUUGGAAUAUGGCAUUCAGUCUGGGAGAAUUGUUGAUGAACAAAUUCAUUUUCAAGUACUGAAAAACCCAUCAGAUGAAAGGAGCAAGAAUGUUUCAAUCUCUAUACCUCUGAAACCAAGUAAUCAGAACACUGGGCAAGUUCAUGCUAUUUUUUAUUCAUGUGACAUGCGUUUCAAGCCUUACAAUUCGCGAGUAUCUCAACUUAAGAUAAGGAAGCCUCGUACCUUUACCCCCUUAAUGGAAACUUUGACUAGCAUUUUUCAAAGGUUAUGGGCUAAAGGACUUUUGAAGCCAAGGGAAGGUUGGAUCCCUAAGCACUCUUUUUCAACUUUGGAUCUAUCCAAGAAUUGUGUGUAUCAUUCAAAUAUUCAAGGUCAUGACACUGAAGAAUGUCCAGCAUUGAGAAAUAAGAUCCAGAAUAUGAUUGAAAAAGGAAAAAUUAUAGUGAAACAAGGACCAGUAAACAACAAUUGCAAUUCUUCUAUAGUGGAUGCAGUCAUUGUUCAAGGAGAUCCCACAGGGCUUUAUUCAAGACACUUGACAAGGAAGCGCAGAUCGCAUCAAAGAAAUUGAGGAGGACAAGACUCUUAUGAACAAAAUGUCUCUUUUGUUCUUAGACCUUAUGCCCAAAGAGUUCCUUUAUUCCUUUCAUUUUCCUUGUAUUCCUGAACUACGUUUGACCUGAUUUCCUUUUGGAUACGUCGGCAACCCUUUGAUAGGUCCGGUCUUUAUCAAAUAAAUUUAUUUUCUUUCCCAUGGUCAUUCAAAAUAUUCCUCUCCAAAUUCAAAUUUAGGGCUAAUUGAUUCAACCUUUAACAUAAUUGAUGUUCAGAUUCGUAGUCGAGCCUAGUGUCCAAAUAUAAGACAAUCACUUUUCUUAUUGAACUAAUAAUUUUCUUUUAGUGAAUUGGAUCACAAAGUCCCUACAAAUGAAACUGGGGCAGAAUUUUUGAGGGAACCUCAAAAAUUUCAGACAAUAUUUAAGAAGGUGAGUAUAUAUCUUAUACUCUAAACUGGGGCAGAAGUUUUUGAAAUCCUCAAAAAUUUCAUCACAAUGGAGUGCAAUUCCGAAAUCAAAGCAAGCACAGGUAUGACCCAAUCUUGCUUUUCAAAUUUACGAUUAUCUCUGGAUGUAGGAAUAGAUUUGACAUAAGGAGCUACUAUCAAUCUACCGUUUGAUUAUUUCGAAGAUGCUAUUAUCAACUUGCUAUUGUGACCUACCGAACAUCACAGGUUCGUCUGCCUUACAAUACGACAUUAGGCUCGUCUGCCUUACAAUAUGACAUUUAGGUUCGUCCGCUUUACAAUAGGACAUCAGGCUCGUCCGCCUUACAAUACGGCAUCAGGCUCGUCUGCCUUAUAAUACGACAUUUAGGUUCGUCCGUCUUACAAUACGACAUUAGGCUCGUUUGCCUUACAAUACGGCAUCAUGCACGUCUGCCUUACAAUACGACAUUUAGGCUCGUCUGCCUUACAAUACGACAUUAGGCUCGUCUGCCUUACAAUAUGACAUUUAGGUUCGUCCGCUUUACAAUAGGACAUCAGGCUCGUCCGCCUUACAAUACGGCAUCAGGCUCGUCUGCCUUAUAAUACGACAUUUAGGUUCGUCCGUCUUACAAUACGACAUUAGGCUCGUUUGCCUUACAAUACGGCAUCAUGCACGUCUGCCUUACAAUACGACAUUUAGGCUCGUCUGCCUUACAAUACGACAUUCAGGCUUGUCCGCCUUACAAUAUGACAUUUAGGCUCGUCCGCCUUACAAUAGGACAUUAGGCUCGUCCGCCUUACAAUAAGAUAUUUAGGAUCUUCCGUCUUACAAUAGGGUGCUCAGGUUAACAUUAUUCUUUGGAGAUGGAUCGCAAUUCUUCAAGAAGUUAAGCCAAAGUUUAUCAGGGUUUACACUAUAUUUCUCAAAGCAGAUAUGUCUUCCUAUCACCUCUUGUCAUUAUUAUUUAUCAUGUUGGUUUACACUUUUUGUAUUUAUAAGCUAACAUUUUAUCUAGUCAUAUUAGAAUUUGCAGGCGAGAUCGAUCGCCCUCUCAGCUACGAUUAUCAGGCUCAUACCUAUUGCAACAGAGGCCCUUUCAAUCAUUUGAUAAUCGUUUCACUGUUUUUCAUCUGAUCCUUGCUCUUGAGCUGGAAAUCGCUCUGUCAUGCUCUUCUCGCUACUCUAAUCUUAUCCAUCCAAGCCGCAAUCGUUCCUGUUCGAAUAUCAUACCGUUUUUCCAUUUUUAGGAGCCUCGUUUGUUCCUAAAUCUAGAACUACACACGGCCUGAUUCUCGUAAUACCAGAGAUAUGUAGGCGACUUAAAACCAAAGUCUCGGCCGUACCCCUCUCCAACUCUAUACCAUUUCAAUUGAUCCCGCUGACAUUUCUCGUCGGUCGGACAAAAUCGGCUACUAAGUCAACGUUGGUUGCCCGACAAUUCAUCUUUCAUUCUCAAGCAACCAAGGGGCAGCUGUUGACACCCAAUUUUGACCGACCUAUAACCCUUUCAGGAGUGCUAUUCUAUUAAAUAUGUACUUUUAAACCAUAUGUCGAAAGCAACAGCAGCAACCGGCGAAGGAGAGCAAAAGCCGGCAAAACGGAUAGCAAUGGCGAGCACCGGCGAAAGUUCCGGCGAGGCCAGCAGCCGCUGGCCGCCUCUACUUCUCUCUUUUUCGGCAAAAUGACGCCACCAGCAGCAGCAGCCUACAACAACAGCUCCGGACAGCAGCAAUAAUGAGAACAUCCAACAACUAGGCGAUUUCCAUUCUUCUCAUCCCCGAUAAAGUUCGGGUUCGAAGACGGAUCUCAACAAAUUCGUCCAGGUUCAUCUUUUUUUUUCCAAUUAAUUAUUAUUCAUCUCCUAAUAUUCUUAAUUGUUCGUUUUUGAUCUACUAGUUAUUUCUAUGUAACAAUUUUAUGUAUGUUUACUUUACAUAAAAAAUACUAAGUGUUAUGAAGUUCAUCUUAGCAUGAACUAUAUGGGUAUCUUAAGCAUGCUUUCUAUGUGAUUUUCUAAUUUCUUGAAAUUGAUCUAGAAUGUCAACAUAUCUCUACGUUAUCUUCUAUUUAGCAUAUCUUUGAUUUUAGAGUCAUUGGAUUUACUAAUUCUUGAUUUUGCUAAGUUAAUUGAUAAAUGACAGAUUUUUCCAAUUCUUUUGCUAAUUAUUUAGUUUGAAAGUAUUCCCUUAAUUGAUUCGGCUUACUGUGCAAAUUGCAUUGACUUUUGGUAUGUUUCUUAAUCUAUAUUCUAAUAGAAUAGAGGUUAAAAUCUUGCUACAAAUCCAACUUUGGUCAGGUAAACUUUGCUGAAUUAUUUUGCUUUCUUUGCUAAUUGAUUCUCGGUAACUUAUUUGAUUUAGUUAUACUAUUCCUACUAAUUGAUUCUUGGUACCUUAUUUGAUUUUAGAAGGAUUAUUUCUUGUUUUACUAUGGUAAAAUUAGUUAAUGUUGAUUCCGUGUCCUCGCCUUAAAUUUGAUUCCCAACAUUAAUUUUGCCUAAUUAUGGCAACCAGGAAAUUCCUUCUUUUAUAUUUGUCUGUCUAGGUGUUCUAUGUAAGGGUAUAUCUAUGUGAUUUAUGCAUUAUUCUCCGUUACUUUGGUAAGUAUAUUAUUGAUAGCUUUUCCAAUAUAUUCCUGCUCUUCUGUAUAUUUUAAUUAAAGUAGUGACUCC